ensembl:snoRNA SNORA73 Small nucleolar RNA SNORA73 family
CCAACGUGGAUACCCCGGGAGGUCACUCUCCCCGGGCUCUGUCCAGGUGGCGCAGGGGAGCACAGGGCUCUGCCCAGUGAUGUACAGUCCCAUUCCACAACGUUGGAGAGGAAGCCGGGCUCUCGAGCCCCCACCUGCAUAUUCCUACAGCUUCUCUGAGUCUUAUUGACAAUGACUGAGGAGAAAAACCAUGCAGGAAACAUAU